rnacentral:rRNA from 1 species
CCUACGGGAGGCAGCAGUGGGGAAUAUUGGACAAUGGGCGAAAGCCUGAUCCAGCAAUGCCGCGUGAGUGAUGAAGGCCUUAGGGUUGUAAAGCUCUUUUACCAGGGAUGAUAAUGACAGUACCUGGAGAAUAAGCUCCGGCUAACUCCGUGCCAGCAGCCGCGGUAAUACGGAGGGAGCUAGCGUUGUUCGGAAUUACUGGGCGUAAAGCGUACGUAGGCGGUUAUUCAAGUCAGAGGUGAAAGCCUGGAGCUCAACUCCAGAACUGCCUUUGAAACUAGAUAGCUAGAAUCUUGGAGAGGUGAGUGGAAUUCCGAGUGUAGAGGUGAAAUUCGUAGAUAUUCGGAAGAACACCAGUGGCGAAGGCGACUCACUGGACAAGUAUUGACGCUGAGGUACGAAAGCGUGGGGAGCAAACAGGAUUAGAUACCCUGGUAGUCCACGCCGUAAACGAUGAUAACUAGCUGUUCGGGCUCUACGAGCUUGAGUGGCGCAGCUAACGCAUUAAGUUAUCCGCCUGGGGAUACGGUCGCAAGNUUAAAACUCAAAGGAAUUGACCGGNNGAGACGNGCGAGACGACGACGAGGAGAG